rnacentral:rRNA from 1 species
UACGUAGGGUGCGAGCGUUAAUCGGAAUUACUGGGCGUAAAGCGUGCGUAGGCGGUUCGUUAAGUUCGUUGUUAAAGCCCCGGGCUCAACCUGGGAAUGGCAAUGGAAACUGGCGGGCUUGAGUAUGGCAGAGGGGGGUGGAAUUCCGCGUGUAGCAGUGAAAUGCGUAGAGAUGCGGAGGAACACCGAUGGCGAAGGCAGCCCCCUGGGCCAAUACUGACGCUCAGGCACGAAAGCGUGGGGAGCAAACAGG